GACAUUGACCCGCGACAACGUCAUUAGUGCAAGGAAAAUAAUACUAAGAACGGAAUAUAAAUAAAACGCACGGUUAAAACAUUUAGUAUCAUUUCACUUGUCAGUUGGUUCAUUGUUUUAUGUUCGUCUGCAGCCAUGUUCUUCAAAAUAAGUGUUUUAUUAUUGAUUCCCCAUUUGCUUUUAGCAGAUUCUAGUUCUGCUAACUUGGGUAGAAUUGGCACUAAACCAACAUCCUGUCCCUUGAACGAAGUUCCAUCAGAUUGCAUAGAAUACUGUCUACCAACUUGUGAGCAACCCAAACAACCUCCCUGUACAUAUAGCACUUGUCUCGCAGGAUGUAUGUGUAAAGAAGGAUAUAUUAGAGUAAAAGAGGGAGCAAAGUGUGUACCUAUUAAAAGUUGCGUGGAACCAGGUGAAAUAAGUAGAAACUAUACAGCACCUUGUAAAGAAAACGAAGAAAUACAGGACUGCGUGGCUUGUGAAACCACCUGUCCAUAUAUCGACGAUCCUGUAUUGUGCUCGUUGUUGUGGUGUCCAAAAGGGUGUGCUUGCAAACACGGUUUUAUUAGGAAAAGAGAAGGAGGAGAUUGCAUUUCUGAAAGCGAAUGCAGGCGAUUGCACACAUAGAUUAUCUUAGUUUUAACGUUUUUUUUUUGUCAAAUAGUAACAAAAACUUGUUUCAAUUGCUAAGAAAAUAUUUUCCUGUAGUAUAGAACAAUAUAUCAACAUCCUGUAAGAUGUU